AUGCUCGCUUUGGCAGCAUAUAUACUAAAAUUGAAGCAAUACAGAAGAUUAGCAUGGUCCCUGCACAAGGAUGACACGCAAAUUCCUGAAGCAUUCCAGAUUUAA